rnacentral:rRNA from 1 species
UACGAAGGGGGCUAGCGUUGUUCGGAUUUACUGGGCGUAAAGCGCACGUAGGCGGAUCGUUAAGUCGGGGUGAAAUCCUGGAGCUCAACUCCAGAACUGCCUUCGAUACUGGCGAUCUUGAGUCCGGAAGAGGUGAGUGGAACUCCUAGUGUAGAGGUGGAAUUCGUAGAUAUUAGGAAGAACACCAGUGGCGAAGGCGGCUCACUGGUCCGGUACUGACGCUGAGGUGCGAAAGCGUGGGAGCAACAGGG